rnacentral:rRNA from 1 species
GGUUCAUUCAAAUUUCUGCCCUAUCAACUUUCGAUGGUAGGAUAGUGGCCUACCAUGGUAUCAACGGGUAACGGGGAAUUAGGGUUCUAUUCCGGAGAGGGAGCCUGAGAAACGGCUACCACAUCCAAGGAAGGCAGCAGGCGCGCAAAUUACCCAAUCCCGACCGGGGAGGUAGUGACAAUAAAUACUGAUACAGGGCUCUUUUGGGUCUUGUAAUUGGAAUGAGUACAAUUUAAAUCCCUUAACGAGGAACAAUUGGAGGGCAAGUCUGGUGCCAGCAGCCGCGGUAAUUCCAGCUCCAAUAGCGUAUAUUAAAGUUGUUGCAGUUAAAAAGCUCGUAGUUG